UACGUAGGGCGCGAGCGUUGUCCGGAAUCAUUGGGCGUAAAGAGCUCGUAGGCGGCUUGGCAAGUCGGGUGUGAAACCUCCAGGCUCAACCUGGAGACGCCACCCGAUACUGCCAUGGCUAGAGUCCGGUAGGGGACCACGGAAUUCCUGGUGUAGCGGUGAAAUGCGCAGAUAUCAGGAGGAACACCUGCGGCGAAGGCGGGUUGCUGGGCUGACACUGACGCUGAUGCGCGAAAGCCAGGGGAGCGAACGGG
rnacentral:rRNA from 1 species